rnacentral:rRNA from 1 species
UACGGGGGGGGCAAGCGUUGUUCGGAAUUACUGGGCGUAAAGGGCGCGUAGGCGGCCUUCUAAGUCAGACGUGAAAUCCCCCGGCUUAACCUGGGAACUGCGUCUGAUACUGGGAGGCUUGAGUAUGGGAGAGGGAUGUAGAAUUCCAGGUGUAGCGGUGAAAUGCGUAGAUAUCUGGAGGAACACCGGUGGCGAAGGCGGCAUCCUGGACCAACACUGACGCUGAGGAGCGAAAGCCAGGGGAGCAAACGGG